rnacentral:rRNA from 1 species
AGAGUUUGAUCCUGGCUCAGGAUGAACGCUGGCGGCGUGCCUAACACAUGCAAGUCGAACGAAGCAUGCCGGAGGAAGUUUUCGGAUGGAAUCCGGGAUGACUGAGUGGCGGACGGGUGAGUAACGCGUGGGUAGCCUGCCCUGUACAGGGGGACAACAGUUAGAAAUGACUGCUAAUACCGCAUAAGCGCACAGGACCGCAUGGUCCGGUGUGAAAAACUCCGGUGGUACAGGAUGGACCCGCGUCUGAUUAGGUAGUUGGCGGGGUAACGGCCCACCAAGCCGACGAUCAGUAGCCGACCUGAGAGGGUGACCGGCCACAUUGGGACUGAGACACGGCCCAAACUCCUACGGGAGGCAGCAGUGGGGAAUAUUGCACAAUGGGGGAAACCCUGAUGCAGCGACGCCGCGUGAGUGAAGAAGUAUUUCGGUAUGUAAAGCUCUAUCAGCAGGGAAGAAAAUGACGGUACCUGACUAAGAAGCCCCGGCUAACUACGUGCCAGCAGCCGCGGUAAUACGUAGGUGGCAAGCGUUAUCCGGAUUUACUGGGUGUAAAGGGCGUGUAGGCGGGACUGCAAGUCAGAUGUGAAAACCACGGGCUCAACCUGUGGCCUGCAUUUGAAACUGUAGUUCUUGAGUACUGGAGAGGCAGACGGAAUUCCUAGUGUAGCGGUGAAAUGCGUAGAUAUUAGGAGGAACACCAGUGGCGAAGGCGGUCUGCUGGACAGCAACUGACGCUGAGGCGCGAAAGCGUGGGGAGCAAACAGGAUUAGAUACCCUGGUAGUCCACGCUGUAAACGAUGGAUACUAGGUGUGGGGGGACUGACCCCCUCCGUGCCGCAGUUAACACAAUAAGUAUCCCACCUGGGGAGUACGAUCGCAAGGUUGAAACUCAAAGGAAUUGACGGGGGCCCGCACAAGCGGUGGAGUAUGUGGUUUAAUUCGAAGCAACGCGAAGAACCUUACCAGGGCUUGACAUCCCGGCGACCGGUGUAGAGAUACACUUUCUUCUUCGGAAGCGCCGGUGACAGGUGGUGCAUGGUUGUCGUCAGCUCGUGUCGUGAGAUGUUGGGUUAAGUCCCGCAACGAGCGCAACCCUUAUUGUUAGUUGCUACGCAAGAGCACUCUAGCGAGACUGCCGUUGACAAAACGGAGGAAGGUGGGGACGACGUCAAAUCAUCAUGCCCCUUAUGUCCUGGGCCACACACGUACUACAAUGGUGGUUAACAGAGGGAGGCAAAACCGCGAGGUGGAGCAAAUCCCUAAAAGCCAUCCCAGUUCGGAUCGCAGGCUGCAACCCGCCUGCGUGAAGUUGGAAUCGCUAGUAAUCGCGGAUCAGCAUGCCGCGGUGAAUACGUUCCCGGGCCUUGCACUCACCGCCCGUCA